rnacentral:tRNA from 1 species
AGCUCUGUGGUGUAACACGUCAAAAUGCAAGUUUGAAAACGGGCCCCAAUCGGCCCCGGGGCUU